rnacentral:rRNA from 1 species
UACGUAGGGCGCAAGCGUUGUCCGGGAUUAUUGGGCGUAAAGAGCUCGUAGGCGGUCUGUUGCGUCGGCUGUGAAAACCCGGGGCUCAACCCCGGGCCUGCAGCCGAUACGGGCAGACUAGAGUUCGGCAGGGGAGACUGGAAUUCCUGGUGUAGCGGUGAAAUGCGCAGAUAUCAGGAGGAACACCGGUGGCGAAGGCGGGUCUCUGGGCCGAUACUGACGCUGAGGAGCGAAAGCGUGGGGAGCGAACAGG